GCAUCGGUAGUGUAAUGGAUCAGCACGCCAGAUCGGAUAUCCGUAGUGUGCGGGUUCGAGUCCUGCCUGAGGUU
rnacentral:tRNA from 1 species